GUAGCUAACGCCGUUUAAGCCAUUCCACCUGGGGAGUACGGCCGCAAGGGCUGAAACUUCANAGGAAUUGACGGGGGGCCCGCACAAGCGGUGGAGCAUGUGGUUUAAUUCGAAAGCGACGCGAAGAACCUUACCAGGUCUUGACAUCCCCUGACAACCCUGGAGACAGGGCGUUCCUCCCUUGCGGGAGGACAGGGUGACAGGUGGUGCAUGGUUGUCGUCAGCUCGUGUCGUGAGAUGUUGGGUUAAGUCCCGCAACGAGCGCAACCCUCGCCCCUAGUUGCCAGCAUUCAGUUGGGCACUCUAGGGGGACUGCCGGCUAAAAGUCGGAGGAAGGUGGGGAUGUCGUCAAAUCAUCAUGCCCCUUAUGACCUGGGCUACACACGUGCUACAAUGGGCGGUACAAAGGGCUGCGAACCCGCGAGGGGGAGCGAAUCCCAAAAAGCCGCUAUCAGUUCGGAUUGCAGGCUGCAUCUCGCCUGCAUGAAGCCGGAAUCGCUAGUAAUCGCGGAUCAGCAUGCCGAGGUGAAUGCGUUCCCGGGCCUUGUACACACCGCCCGUCACAACACGAGAGCUUGCUUCACCCGAAGUCGGUGAGGUAUGCCGCAA
rnacentral:rRNA from 1 species